rnacentral:tRNA from 1 species
UGCUCUUCAUGGACCACGGGCGGGUCGUCGAGGCCGGAGCCCCCGACCGGCUGUUCGAGGCGCCGGAGACCGA